GUUCCCUACGGGAGGCAGCAGUCGGGGAUAUUGCGCAAUGGAGGAAACUCUGACGCGGUGACGCCGUGUAUAGGAAGAAGGUUUUCGGAUUGUAAACUAUUGUCGUUAGGGAAGAUACAAGACAGUACCUAAGGAGGAAGCCCCGGCUAACUAUGUGCCAGCAGCCGCGGUAAUACAUAGGGGGCAAGCGUUAUCCGGAUUUAUUGGGUGUAAAGGGUGCGUAGACGGAGAAACAAGUUGGUUGUGAAAUCCCUCGGCUCAACUGAGGAACGGCAACCAAAACUAUUUCCCUUGAGGGUCGGAGG
rnacentral:rRNA from 1 species